rnacentral:rRNA from 1 species
GACAGAGGGUGCAAGCGUUGUUCGGAAUCAUUGGGCGUAAAGCGCGCGUAGGCGGCUAUGUAAGUCGAAUGUGAAAUCCCUGGGCUCAACCCGGGAAGUGCAUUCGAAACUGCAUAGCUUGAGCCCCGGAGAGGGUGGUGGAAUUCCCAGUGUAGAGGUGAAAUUCGUAGAUAUUGGGAGGAACACCAGAGGCGAAGGCGACCACCUGGACGGAGACUGACGCUGAGGCGCGAAAGCGUGGGGAGCAAACAGG